UACCAGCUCUCCGAGUGGUGUGGAUGUUUAUUGGGCCUAAAGCAUCCGUAGCUGGCUGGGCAAGUCCCCUGUUAAAUCCACCGAUUUAAUCGUUGGUGUGCGGGGGAUACUGUUCGGCUAGGGGACGGGAGAGGCAGACGGUAUUUUCGGGGUAGGGGUGAAAUCCUAUAAUCCCGGGAAGACCACCAGUGGCGAAGGCUGUCUGCUAGAACGCGCCCGACGGUGAGGGAUGAAAGCUGGGGGAGCGAACCGGAUUAGAUACCCGGGUAGUCCCAGCUGUAAACGAUGCAGGCUAGGUGUUUGGACGGCCACGUGCCGUUCUAGUGCCGCAGGGAAGCCGUUAAGCCUGCCGCCUGGGGAGUACGGCCGCAAGGCUGAAACUUAAAGGAAUUGGCGGGGGAGCACCACAAGGGGUGAAGCUUGCGGUUU
rnacentral:rRNA from 1 species